AUGCAUUUAUAAGUGGAAAAAAUGGCGUUCUACUUUCCGGCAGUAGCCUGGAACCUAACCUGCUGAAUAAGUGGGGCCCUACUGUAUUAAAGUGAAUCCUCAGAAAUACAGUAUUUAUUACUGUAUAUCAAAUUUAAAUAAUUGUUUGAAUUAUUUAAACUGUACAAGUUUGAAAUGGGAUCUUUGGUUUUAUCUGUAACUUACUCUUUAAUUUUGUUUUGGUAAUGACGUUUUCUGGCUUAAAAUAUAUUUCAAAUUGAAUAGUGAUCUAAAAUGUGUAGGAAACAAUGCUUAGGCCAACUAUAGAAAUGUGUAAUUUUGGUUACACACUAAACACUCACAUUUUUACACUGGAGUACACUAAGUGAAUACAACAUAUAAGAAACAGGUCAGUGAACUGCAUAAAAUACUCCUUUCAGCAUAAAUAAGAAAUUUUAAAUGGUAAUCCUGCUAAGUACUGUGUACUUCAGUGGAAGCCUGUUAUGCUGUUUUAACAUAACCAUACUAAACUUUUAGCAUUCAUCUACCAGUAGUUACAGUGAAGCUCCAUAAUAAUGUUGGUAGAAUUACCGACAAUAUGUUAGGUGAAAGGACACAUGCAACUGAUGCAACAUUUUAUUGUGGCAAAGUUUCAUGAUAAUGCUUCUUGUUUUCUGCACUACAACACCUCAAAAGAAGAAAAUACAAUAAGAAACCUCUAAACAAAGGUUUUAGUUGCAUUGUCUCAUAAGACAGCUUGUGGUUAGUGACAGUGGUGGUGAUGGCCAUGGUAACUUGGUUUCGUCUACAUAUUACACUUGUGGUGUAGCUAUCUUCUCCAGUAAAUAAAAUGCUGUAUGUGUUGCCAUGAGAGGAGAACUCUGUAUUGUUACCAAAUAUUCUAACUCUGUUAGGUACAGUAGCAUAAAUUGCUAAUCUACCUCACCUCCCUUAUUUACCAUCAGUAUGAUAAAAAAAACUCAGGCACAUUGAACAUUUUCUGAUGUUUGUGGCCAGCAUUUCAAGUAGUAUACAGUGUUUCAUUUACAGGGAAUGAGAGACCUAGCUGCUAGUUAUGCUUAUCUCUGAACAUUGAACUAAAGAGGGAGGAGAAAUGAUGGUACAAGACGUAUUCAUUAUCAUUACUGGCUAGAAUUCACAAAUACUCUAGCACUAAAUUUAGUCAUAUAAUUAAUUUUGAUUUAGAAUUGGGAUCAGUUUGAGUUUCCAUGUCUACAUCAUAUAUUGCUCUAAUAUGUUUAAAAUUUUUAAGGAAAAUGUAAAGAAAAAAUAGAUUUGAGCAUUGGCAGUCAGUUGAGCCCACACUGAAUGAAAUCCUAUAGGGGUCGUGUGUGGAGCUUAAAAAAAUGAAAAACUCACUAAUAGUUAGAUAUUUGCUCAAUGCUCUUCAGUAAAGACUAUAUAAGAUCUAAGGACAUGAAUUAUGAAGCUUGUUGAUGUUUGGGUUUGUCUAAAUUUCUAAACAUAUUUACUAAUCAUUAUCAUUGAUUAAUUAUUCACCAUAAUUAUCAAUAUUUUUACAAAGACCUAUUUAUUUAUGCUGUGUGUUUGAGUGUGGUACAUUACAUUACUGUAUUACAUUACAGUACAUUAAUGUUUUGAAGUUAGCAUUUCAUGGUUUGUUGGUCAAUUUCUUGAAUUUGUUAAAAAUCAUCUUUAGGAGCUCUUGAUCAAAGGAGUUGGACCUGUUCUCCCUUUCCUUGGAUCGAACAUGAUUGUCUCCCAUUCCCCCAGGUGCUGUAUGACCCCACCGAUUUAGCUCUUGCUUCCAUGAAUAUAAUAAUAAUAAUAAUGUCGGCAUUAUGCUAUAAGAGAAAGGAAGCUCAGACGAGCCACUCAAAACUAUAUUGACACCAGCCAGCACUGACACUGACUGGGCAAGGUAGCGAUGGAUAGUGGAAACCUGAUGGCUAACAAGGGAGGAUCUUCAGGACCUACAGCGACCUUCACCCCAGUCAGCGGAAAAGUACAUCUGUGCCCGUACUGUUCCUACUCAACUGCCAGAAAGCACCAUCUGGAUGAUCAUAUACGUACACAUACCGGGGAGAAACCUUUUCAAUGCCCACAUUGUCCUUAUCGGUGUUCAAAAAGUAUAAAUCUUAAAAUUCAUAUCCGUAUUCAUACAGGCGAGAAACCUUAUGUAUGCUCUCUAUGCCCUUUCCGUACUGCUCAAAAAGUCAACCUUAUCAGACAUUCUUAUAUACACACCAGGUAAAACAUUUAAUUUUAUGGCAUGCUCACAACAUACCUAAGCUAAUGUCAUGAAGUAGGUUUAUUUAGAUACUGUAUUUGCAUCCUUAUCAUAUUUGAAUCCCUCAGUAUUUAGAAUCAGUGGAUUUUAAUUGUUCAGUAACAAAUAUGUAUUAAUACUUUCUGAUACCUGAAAUUGCACAGAGCAUUUAUGGUCUUAGACUUAAAUUAACUUUAUUGACAGAUAAUCAUUAUUAUAAAUAUUAUUGUUAUAUUAUAAAAAAAUAUUGGUUUGCUAUUUGUAUUGCAAUAUAUCCAGGUAAAAGUGUUUGAAGUAAUGUGUAGAUAUUUGUGAUUAUAUAAAUGUAAUUUAUAUAUUUAUUACAAGAAAAAACAAAAAGCACCUUUUAACCAUUAUGCAGUAGGCAUCAUAUAAAUGCACAAGCAUAAACUCAUCACAUAGUUAUUGAGAACUCUCGCCAUAAAUUAUUAUUUUAAACAUAAAGUACUGAAAUAUGUAUGGAAUACUCACUUUUCCAAGUAUUUCAUAGAAUUACCUUUCCUCUUGAUGCACUCCUUAUGUCUCAUAGGCACUGAUAAGGCUACGUUAUGGAGGAUAGAAGCCUCAGUACCCUCCCUCACCUGCUUAAUGGCAUUGAAGAAUUUGUGGAAAGUGGACAUGUCCAUGCCACAAAGCCUGUACUUAAUAAGGUUCCACAUAUUUUUUUUAAGUCUUGGUGAGUUACCAGGCCAGUCAUUAUAGUGAUACUAUAUCACAUUCAUAUAGCCAGUCUUUUAUGUCUCAGUAUGACAAGGAGUACUGUCUUGUAUAUACAAGUUGCCUUUCCACUUCUCAAAAUGGUCACCAAAUAAUCUUCUAAAGGUGUAUUUGUGUGUGUGUGCGCAUAUUUAUGAUGCCUACUGUAUAGUUAUUAAAAUUUUUGUUGGAGAUAAAAAGUUACCAGUAAGCAUGGUUUUGUUGUAAUAUAUUACCAAAUAACUUUAUUCAUGAUUAUUUGCAAUCUACUGAAACUCCAUAGAAAUUCUGGAGUUACUGCCAUAAACCAAUAAUGUAAAUAAGAUAAAAAUAGAGCCUUUAAACAUUUUAAAAAAUGGAGUGUUUUAAUUUUAGGUGUUCACUGUUAUGUAAAUUUAUUGUAAAAGUUCACCAAACAAGUUGAUACAUUGCCUGCUAGUUUUCCCUCCUCUAAGUGAACAUUGCAAACUAGUGACUUCAAACAUAGAUACUCAUUUUUUGGGAUUAUGGCUGGAAAUCUGUUGUUCCUGGUCGAGUUCCAUUGGAGAUAAAUGAAAUCUCUUACCCCUAUCUGAUUAAUUUUCAGUUAUAUUCACCAUUCAACCUUGCCUCAUAAAUAACCAUACAUUUAUGAUUGGCUUACCACUAGCAUACAGUCAUUAACCCCUUGACUGUCGCAACCCCCAAUCCUGAGGUGUCUCCUGGUGUCGCAAAAUUUAAAAAAAAAAAAAAUUCUUAUGAAAUGAUAGAGAAUCUUUUCCCGAUUGUAAUGAUACCAAAAAAAAAAAAAUGAAAUUUGAUGGAAAACUGAUGGAAUUACACUCUCGCGAAGUUAGCGACCUCGGCUAUAUUUACAAAUCGGCAAUUUCACCCACUUUGAGCCCUAUUUUCGGCUAAUUCCAUUGUUUCAGUCAACCAAAUUCAUAGCUAUUUCUUUAGAACUCCGUUUUUUCUAUCGACUGAGUACAAGAAACUGCCCAUUUACCAAUUUCAACUACCCAAUAACGUGGUCAGAAAUUUGCAAUUUGGCCAAUUUCACGAAAAUUAAAAAAUAUGACAAUUUCAAAAUAAAGUCCAGAAUGAACAAUGCAGACAUUCCUGGCUCUAAAAUAACAUUUUCUUUGUUCAUCAGUCAUGUCUCCAGGCCCCUCUGAUAUUACUCUUGCUUUCUAUUUUAAAUUUUUAUUCAAACAAAAAAUAGAAGAUUUACUAUUAUGCAGUUUACUGCAAUACUGUAAUAAUUGUAUAAAUAACAUUAACCCAUUCAUGACUGCAUAUUAGAAUAGCUAGUUGGACAUUUAUUGGACAAUGACAACAUUUGUUUACUUUUGAACAUCGGCAAAAAUCAAACAUUUCCCUUACUUUGAGCUCCAUUUCCAGGUUCUUUUUAUAGUAAAAUCAAUCAAAAUUACCUCUAUUUCUAUAAUAUGUUUUCCAUUCUAUCAAAUGAGACCAAGAAAAUGAGAAUACAACCAUAAAUACUAUACGAAAAUAGACCACGAAGUUGGCAUUUUAAUUCAAAAAAACGGUCGGAGUUUUUUUCUCUCAUUAUGCACUGCGUGCUCCAGGAUUUUUUUUAUAUGGUGCACACUGACCACACAGACCCAUUCUCUCACAUGUGGGCCUACCAGCUUUCUCCUCCUUGAUUUGAAGCCGCUAGAAUUUAUGAGUACAUGUAUAUAUACGUCAAACACAGUACCUCGUAAGACGUAUAUACAUGUAUAUGGCCGCGACAGUCAAAGGGUUAAUGUAGCUUUCAAAUUCCAUAUACUGUAUAGAAAUUCUUUAGAUUCAGGGGUUCAUACAUCCUACAAGCCCAGCGAGCAAAAAAUUGCUAAUAUUCGAACACUAAAAGUCCAUAUAUAAUAAUAUUCUGAUUUAGGUUUACCAUAUAAUAGUUUUUGUAUAUGACUGGUAUGUGUGUGGUUAAGUAAUGUGCAUUUUCCUCUUCUAAAUUCUGCCAAGCUGUUAUUUAUAGGAGGGCCAAAAAAAAGUCCCAAUCGAAUAUUUUUUAACAAAAUACAGUGGGUUUUUUUUCUUUUUGUGGAGCAUGUAUGUUAUGUUCAUAUACAUAUGUUAUUUUUUUUUUUUUGGGGGGGGGGGGGGGAGUCAAGAAAUGUAAAUUUAUUAUUGAUACUGUUAAAGUUUUAAAUAAGAUAUGAGAAUUACUUACAGACAUCUGUGAAUUUUCAUUAUUUUUCUUGGACCACGCAUGAGAAACACUAAAUUACUGAAAUUCACGAAGCUAUAUGUCUGGAAUUUACAUGUAUUACUGUACAUUAAACAGGGAUUACCGUAGACCACAGUUUAAUUUGUAAAUACAUAACACACAAUAAUGAGUCCACUGUCACAAAUCCAAUGAUUUCUGGCAGUUUCUGACAAUCACUAGUCCUAGGACAGCUUAUUAUUUUCCCCCUUCCACUACUAGUACUGUAAUUGCUGCUGGCAAAUCAUUGUUGUCCCUCCCUGUCUUCCUCUUCCUUAGCCUGCACUCUUUCCCUUCUUCCAACUGCUCCUCACACUAUUUUCUUUUCCUCUUCCUCAUCAUACAGUUUUUGUUUUUCAUAUUACAAAUAUCAUCCCUGAUGUCCAAUUCUCUUACUGCUGCUGCAGUUAUAUACUGCCAUAGAAAAAAUAUGACCAAGGAUUAUUCUUGUUCCAGGCUACACAAAGGUUAUGAUACUGUAUUUUAGAAAAUGUACAGUAUCCUUUAUUUUCCUAUCUCAGUUUGUAAAUAUGUACAGUGUGCUCUUCCAGGGUUUUAUAAUUUUAAUUGAAUAAAGUGUUGUGAUUAUGCAGUAUCCAUUAAUCUAUCAAAUGUAAUAAAACCAAAAGAUAAUACUUUUAUAUAAAAUAUAAGCUAUGUGUAUGUGUGCUUUAGCAUGCAUUUUAUGCACGUUGGUACAUGUAUUAUAUGAAUAUUCAAUUAUGUUGAUGAUAGUAAAUCUGUUAUUACCUAAAACUUCAAUAGAAAUAGCAUUAUUUGAUUAAAUGAUCUCACACAUUUGGGACCUGUGGCUUUUGAAGCAUCAUAUAAAUACAAUAGUAUCAUUCAGGGAUCUAAUUAAAGAUGGCUGUUGUUAGCAAUAGCAUAGCUUUUUGUGUCUUGCAUGUAAAUUGUCUCUAAAUAUCAGUGUUUGUGACUAUCUCCUGGUUAUAAAUGAGACAGACACUUGUACCCUACAGGGUGGGCUGGGCCUUGAUGAUCUGAGGAUUGGCACGGGAGAAGUGUUGCGACCCAGCAGGAGCCUCUCAACGACCAGCAAGAAACACAAGUGCCUCUACUGUACCUAUUCUACUUCACGAAAGCACAGUUUGAUUGUUCAUGUACGAACUCAUACUGGAGAGAAACCAUUCUUGUGCCCACAUUGCACUUACCGAUGUGCUAAGAAAAUAAAUUUAAAAAUUCACAUAAGAACCCAUACAGGCGAGAAACCUUUUGUGUGCCCUCACUGUUCAUUUCGCUCAGCUCAAAAAGUCAACCUUGUUAGACAUUUGCAAACUCACAUUAAAUAAAAAAAAAAGGGGGGACAAACAGCCUUUUAUGUGUAAAAUAAUUCCCUAAAUUAGAUUUUAACAUCCACUUGAAGUUAAAGA